rnacentral:rRNA from 1 species
AUUGAACGCUGGCGGCAGGCUUAACACAUGCAAGUCGAGCGGGGGAAGGUAGCUUGCUACUGGACCCAGCGGCGGACGGGUGAGUAAUGCUUAGGAAUCUGCCUAUUAGUGGGGGACAACAUCUCGAAAGGGAUGCUAAUACCGCAUACGUCCUACGGGAGAAAGCAGGGGAUCUUCGGACCUUGCGCUCAUAGAUGAGCCUAAGUCGGAUUAGCUAGUUGGUGGGGUAAAGGCCUACCAAGGCGACGAUCUGUAGCGGGUCUGAGAGGAUGAUCCGCCACACUGGGACUGAGACACGGCCCAGACUCCUACGGGAGGCAGCAGUGGGGAAUAUUGGACAAUGGGGGGAACCCUGAUCCAGCCAUGCCGCGUGUGUGAAGAAGGCCUUAUGGUUGUAAAGCACUUUAAGCGAGGAGGAGGCUACUCUAGUUAAUACCUAGGGAUAGUGGACGUUACUCGCAGAAUAAGCACCGGCUAACUCUGUGCCAGCCGCCGCCGUAACAC